CUUACACAUGCAAGUCGAGCGGUAACAUGAACUGUAGCAAUACAGUUUGAUGACGAGCGGCGGACGGGUGAGUAACACGUAGGAAACUGCCCAGAAGCGGGGGACAACCAAGGGAAACUUUGGCUAAUACCGCGUAAUCUCGGAAGAGGAAAGCUGCCCGCAAGGGUGGCGCUUUUGGAGGGGCAUGCGGUCGCUUAGCUAGUUGGUGAGGUAAAAGCUAACCAAGGCAGAGAUCGGUAACUGGUCUGAGAGGACGACCAGUCAAACUGGGACUUAGACACGGCCCAGACUACUACGGGAGGCAGCAGUGGGAAAUAUUGGACAAUGGGGGCAACCCUGAUUCAGCGAUGCCGCGUGGGUGAAGAAGGCCUCCGGGUUGUAAAGCCCUUUAGGUUGGGAAGAAGUUUAUGGGGGGAAUAUCCCCAUAGAUUGACGGUACCGACAAAAUAAGCACCGGCAAACUCUGUGCCAGCCGCCGCAGUAA
rnacentral:rRNA from 1 species